rnacentral:lncRNA from 1 species
CCGUUCAUCGGUGUUUCUAGAGGUUCUUCUUCUAGGGGUUUCGUAGGGAGCCGCUCAAUUAUUGGCGUUUUUGGUUGCAAGUUAACCAAGGGUUUCAUAGGGCAAAUCUAUCCUUUUAUUAUUUAACUAAUUUUAUUUAUUCUCGUUUUUAUUUCUAAUUUAUGUUUCUCUUGUGUCUAGAUCCGGAGUUCCGCAUCACCGUUAGGAUUGAUGUGGGUUUUGCUGCGAUCAAUGGAAUAGUGGGCGGCUGUUAGGAUUCAUAUCCAUAAGGUGAAACAGUUUUAAGGGUCGUCAAAGACUACUGAUCCUAUUUUGAAGUGAGACGUAACCAAUACUAUGCCCCAAUAAUUUCAGCACGACUGUCAUCGCCAUCUCCUUAAAGAGGAUUUGUUGAAUACGGUCCGAGAAGUCUAUUGUUGGGAUUCUAUUGAUAGUAGAUCUUGUGACAUCGCCUUCAAAAAAAAAUCAAUCUCUACAUCGCUCCCACCGUCAGAGCCAACAACCACCUCCCCAAAAUCGGCGACACCUUUCCCUAAUAGCUUAUCCUUCGAUGACAAAGUCAAAAUCAGGUCCAAAUCCACUACCAUGUCGACAGCCACAUCGCCAUUAUGCUCCUUAAAUAUUACUUUCUUAGUAUUUCGAUCCUCAGUAGACCGAGAGUCAUCACCGCCUUCAUCAAUCAGAAAAUUUGCCAUUUAAUUAAUUAGUGAUUUUCAAAUCAAAUUAACUAAUGAAUGAAAUUUCAAAAAUUUUGAUCGAACUAAUUUUAAUAGCAGACUGAUUAAUUGUGUUAAUUAUAUUUUAACCAAAUUACACAACCCUAAUCCAACCCAUUAGUAGUAGCAACUGACUGAAAAUUCAUUAUUAAUUAAUUCUCAAGAAAUAGAGCUAAACUCGAAAAUUGAUGUAUCAAUUUGUAAAAAGAAAAAUUAAAAUUAAACGAAAAAAAUAUGUUUUUUUUGUCAAUAUGAAAAUUAAAUAUUUACAUAAGACUAUAAUAUAAAUUUUUUUAUUUUUAUUUACAAUUUCAAUGAAGAAAAACAUAUAUCAAAUUAAUAAAUUUAAAAUAAAAAGGUAUAAUGAUUUAUUUAACCCUUUAAUUUUACUCAAAAAAUUU